CCUACGGGAGGCAGCAGUGGGGAAUAUUGGACAAUGGGGGAAACCCUGAUCCAGCGACGCCGCGUGAGUGAAGAAGUAUUUCGGUACGUAAAGCUCUAUCAGCAGGAAAGAAAAUGACGGUACCUGACUAAGAAGCCCCGGCUAACUACGUGCCAGCAGCCGCGGUAAUACGGAGGGGGCAAGCGUUAACCGGAUUUACUGGGCGUAAUGGGAGCGUAUACGGCAGUGCAAGUCUGGAGGGAAAUGCCGGGGCCCAACCCCGGAACUGCGCUGGAAACUGGGAGGCUGGAGUGCAGGAGAGGUAGGCGGAAUUCCUGGUGUAGCGGUGAAAUGCGUAGAUAUCAGGCGGAACACCGGCGGCGAAGGCGGCUUACUGGACUGUGACUGACGUUGAGGCUCGAAGGCGUGGGGAGCAAACAGGAUUAGAUACCCGGGUAGUC
rnacentral:rRNA from 1 species